UCGGCCUCUUCUGCAGCUGUUCCAGGUGAGCCAGUCCUUCCACCAUUCCUCUCUUUGUUAUCUUGAUUUGGUGUCGUGAUUCAUUUGGUCCUACACGCUUUAGCCCUGCUUUCUAUUCUGUUUGCAUGCAUAGAUGGUUGUUUCCCAUUUCGCUGAGAAGUCUAUCUACAUUAGAAAAGGCAAAUGCCAGAUGUCAGCGACAGCAUAAAAAGAAUACUAACAUUGGAAAGUGGUUUCCAAGGUUGAGUUGUUCUUUAAAAUUUUGGACAAAUGAAAUGUUGCAAAAUAGGUAGUGUUCAAAACGUGACCUCAUUACACAAACGAAUAAAUCCCAUCCACUGGUCCAUUGUUAUCGCCUUGUAGUCAUUUUGGUACUGAAACACAUUUCAAAUAUAGCAUGUCAAUUAAGCACCGAGCCUCAAUGAAGAAAGCAUGAACAAAACCACGGAAGAAAAGUAUAAUCCAUUACCAUGAGGUAAUUAUUAAGCUUGUCAACCUGAGGGUGGAACUGCAAGCCUAAUACUAGAUUCAGCAACUCACAAGCAGCUGGUAUUUCUAUACAUUUCUACUUCCUCUAAGGAAAGAUAAUCAUUGUGAAAAAUCACAGAAAUAGCAGUCAUGUUAAUCAAUUUGCUUUGGAGCGUUAUAAUUUACAAUAGAAACCAACCAUACCUGUGAGGCAAUAACGAAAGCAGCUGGUAUUUCUAUACAUUUCUACUUCCUCUGAGGAAAGAUAAUCAUUGUGAAAAAUCACAGAAAUAGCAGUCAUCUUGAUCACUUUGCUUUGGAGCAUUAUAAUUUACAAUAGAAACCAACCAUACCUGUGAGGCAAUAACGAAAUGCAUAUAUGUAGAAAUCCUGGAAAUUGGAUGGCCUUGAAACCUGGAUUUAUAAACAUAUGAAAGUGGUCAGCAAGGUUACACUUCAACAAAGAAAUAUCAACAAUUAAUGGUAGCUCAUUGUCUAUUACAGUCACAAGGUGACAAUAUAUCAUGAUAUAUCUGUUAGAUGGAAGUUCUUCACUCCAUAAAUUAAAUCUCUGAUAUGCAUGGCUCACUUGAACAUAAGAUAAUAUUUGGGGAGACAGAAUCACCUCCUGGACCAGUUCUGGAAAUGCUUUCUUCAGUUUACUAAUACUGUCAGCUCGAAGAGCUUUCAAGCCAGUUCUCCAUUCAUCCUGAUAACAUAAAAACAUGUAUUAGUCAACACUUGAAAGCAUAGAACAGUUUUUUAGUAUUAGAACUAAAGCAGGUCCUUCAUUGAACACUUGAAUAGCAAUAUGUAAUGCAUUCCAAGGUAAAGCAACCUUGCUUAUCACAGCAUGUGCCUCUUCUGUGGAUCUCGUCAUACGAUUUACUUUAGUAUACCCCUUCAGUCGAAAAAGAUUAUUUCUAUAGCCUUGGAUGAACUCAUGUUUGACAAGUAAUAAGUCAUUUGAUUAAUCACGUAAUAAAUUUUAAUAGUAAACUUGUUUAUAAAACUUAUGAUUGAUUGACAACUGAAAAAACAAGACUAUCUUUCUUUUUUAGACAGUGGAAGCAACUAUUAGACAAGCCAAGUUUAACAGUACAGUACACGUGAAUACUUCGCCCUCAAGUCCUGAACCCACACAGCCAACAAAUACGUGUAGUACUCAUCAGAUAUAUGGCACAGGAGAUGACGAUGUUGCUGGUUCCGCAGACGUUGAUGCUGAGUAACGGUAUGUCCAAUUCUCCCCUACAACUUCAUGAGAUAUAUGCUUCCAAGUGUUCCAAUUGCAUGUAGUAUAAGGCAGUGGGUACUAGGCAACCCUAAACCCCAAUUUGCUUAAUGAUAUGCCUCCAAUCUCCAAGGGUUCCUGCACUUUAUUAAGGAGACUGAGUGCCAUCGUGCUAUAACCCAAAACCCAAAACGAAAGACAAAAAAGAAAGGAACAAUACAUUGAGAUUCGAUAAUCAUAAUUUCUUUUCUGGUGCAAAAAGAAUGUAACAUUACAGCCUUUCAAUUCAGAUAAACAACAGAAACAUUCCAAGCACAGAUUAAUAGUGCUCCCCCAAAGAAGUCACACAGAUUGAUAACUAUUUUAAGGUCAGAUGCAAUUUCUUGAUAAAUCAACUGAGAAGGUAAAAAGAGAGUUCUCUUAUUUUGUACAAUAGUUGCUCAUAACCCAAGACUCCAAGAGAUCUUGGAUGCAGCAGUAGCUACAUAGCUUGCCUUAAGCAGCUACAUUGUUCCAGGACAAAAGAAAAACAUUUGCACCAAGAGUUGCAAUACAAGACCAUGAAAGAAAUGGUAAUGGAGAAAAGAUUAUGUUACUUUGCAAACAACAUUUAAUCAUAUUUUGUAGAAAAAGAGCGAUUGACAAAAACAAGUACCUCUGGAUUUCAACGCUACGUAGCUUGCCUUAAGCAGCUACAUCAUUCCAGGACAAAAGAAAAACAUUUGCACCAAGAGUUGCAAUACAAUACCAUGAAAGAAAUGGUAAUGGAGAAGAGAUUAAGUUACUUUGCAAACAACAUUUAAUCAUAUUUUGUAGAAAAAGAGCGAUUGACACAAACAAGUACCACUGGAUUUCAACGCGUCAAUUAGUUGUUGCCUCAUGUUAUAUUUGAGAUUGCAAUGCUUGCCAAAACUUGUUAAUUGAUUGCUACCUUUUUUUUAGUUGCAGUGCUUUUGGACACGAGCACCACCAGCUAUGGAGGCCCGCUUUUGGAAACUGAGGAUCGCUUUUGGGAACUAUCCCAGUUCAUCUAGGUUGCUGUUAGAACUUCCCCCCUACUGUGUAGGGCGUAUGGUUUUAUGCUUGUAAGAUAUGGACAGCGCUAUGCUGUGUGCUUGACUGCAAGAUAUGCCUUUUGUUGCUUGGUCAUAGCUAUGCUAUGCAUGCAAUCCUGCGAGGACCAUACUCGCGAUGUGUAAAGCAUGCCUAUAUAGUCUAGGCCUGACCAAAUAAGAAACGUUGCUUCCUUUGGUGCUUCUACUAUUUCUCUUUGUCGUUCUGUGCUACUACCAGCCAUGUAUUU
rnacentral:lncRNA from 1 species